rnacentral:rRNA from 1 species
AAAUUGAAGAGUUUGAUCAUGGCUCAGAUUGAACGCUGGCGGCAGGCCUAACACAUGCAAGUCGAACGGUAACAGGAAGCAGCUUGCUGUUUCGCUGACGAGUGGCGGACGGGUGAGUAAUGUCUGGGAAACUGCCUGAUGGAGGGGGAUAACUACUGGAAACGGUAGCUAAUACCGCAUAACGUCGCAAGACCAAAGAGGGGGACCUUCGGGCCUCUUGCCAUCGGAUGUGCCCAGAUGGGAUUAGCUAGUAGGUGGGGUAACGGCUCACCUAGGCGACGAUCCCUAGCUGGUCUGAGAGGAUGACCAGCCACACUGGAACUGAGACACGGUCCAGACUCCUACGGGAGGCAGCAGUGGGGAAUAUUGCACAAUGGGCGCAAGCCUGAUGCAGCCAUGCCGCGUGUAUGAAGAAGGCCUUCGGGUUGUAAAGUACUUUCAGCGGGGAGGAAGGGAGUAAAGUUAAUACCUUUACUCAUUGACGUUACCCGCAGAAGAAGCACCGGCUAACUCCGUGCCAGCAGCCGCGGUAAUACGGAGGGUGCAAGCGUUAAUCGGAAUUACUGGGCGUAAAGCGCACGCAGGCGGUUUGUUAAGUCAGAUGUGAAAUCCCCGGGCUCAACCUGGGAACUGCAUCUGAUACUGGCAAGCUUGAGUCUCGUAGAGGGGGGUAGAAUUCCAGGUGUAGCGGUGAAAUGCGUAGAGAUCUGGAGGAAUACCGGUGGCGAAGGCGGCCCCCUGGACGAAGACUGACGCUCAGGUGCGAAAGCGUGGGGAGCAAACAGGAUU